rnacentral:rRNA from 1 species
AUACGGAGGGUGCAAGCGUUACUCGGAAUCACUGGGCGUAAAGCGCGCGCAGGCGGUCUUUUAAGUUGGAUGUGAAAGCCUACGACUCAACCGUAGAACUGCAUCCAAAACUAUUAGACUAGAGUGUGGGAGAGGAAGAUGGAAUUAGUUGUGUAGGGGUAAAAUCCGUAGAGAUAACUAGGAAUACCAAAAGCGAAGGCAAUCUUCUGGAACACUACUGACGCUGAGGCGCGAAAGCGUGGGGAGCAAACAGGAUUAGAUACCCCAGUAGUCC